GUCCACGCCGUAAACGAUGAGUGCUAGGUGCUGUGGGUAUUGACCCCGCGGUGCCGCAGCCAACGCGUUAAGCACUCCGCCUGGGGAGUACGGCCGCAAGGCUAAAACUCAAAGGAAUUGACGGGGCCCGCACAAGCGGUGGAGCAUGUGGUUCAAUUCGACGCAACGCGCAGAACCUUACCUGUGUUAAAUCCACUCGAAUCUAGUAGAGAUACUGGGGUGCCCUUCGGGGAGCGAGUGAGAAGGUGCUGCAUGGCUGUCGU
rnacentral:rRNA from 1 species